rnacentral:rRNA from 1 species
UACGAAGGGGGCUAGCGUUGUUCGGAAUCACUGGGCGUAAAGGGCGCGUAGGCGGCUAGACGAGUCGAGGGUGAAAGCCUGUGGCUUAACCACAGAAUUGCCUUCGAUACUGUUUGGCUUGAGACCGGAAGAGGUAAGUGGAAUUGCGAGUGUAGAGGUGAAAUUCGUAGAUAUUCGCAAGAACACCAGUGGCGAAGGCGGCUUACUGGUCCGGUUCUGACGCUGAGGCGCGAAAGCGUGGGGAGCAAACAGG